rnacentral:lncRNA from 10 species
CCGCAUUGAUUGUUCAAGGGUCAACUGUAAUUACAAAACUGGUUAAAAAGUGGUAUAAAUGGUGAUCUAGCACCACUGAAUUAAACUAAAAGAGGAAGAGCCCUGCAGUUCGGGAUGGAAAAAUGAUCAUCAUCCCUUCUUUCUUCUUCAUUUUAGGUGAAGACAACACUAAUUUUGUGGGACCCUUGUAGAAGAUUCAUAAUCACACCAACAUGGAAGAUAAGAUUUUAUAUCACUAUAAAUCCCCAAGGCUAGGGAUUAUCGCCAUUUUGCUCACCACUGAAUUCCCAGAGCCCAGCACAGUGCCAGGAACAAUGUGUAUGGGCAUGUUUACCUGCUAAGAAGACAGAACUAUUUUUAUCAUACCCUUUCCUAGCCAAGGAGAACUGGGAGUGAUAAGUACGCAUGGAGAGUAAGUCCAUCAACAUUCUUAAGUUCUUGGCACCAUAAGCUCAGGUACGAGGAGUGCUAGGCUCUUGUAUGUUUCAAAAUUUAUAUAAUCUUGGUUGCUGUCACUGAAAAAUGAUUUGAUUUAACCCUAGCUUUAUUGCAGCUGGAUUGAGAGCUCCUCAAAAAUACUUUCCACUCACUGAUGGGGAACAGCUUUAUGAGUGUCUAUCUAACUCUGAAGCAAAGCAGAGACAAAAAGGAUCAUUUCCUUAAAUAAGAGAAACACCAAUGAGCCAAUUAUAGCACGAAGCCAGUCCUUGAACCUUCCUUUGGACCUUGCUUUCUUUAGAGACAGGCUGGGCACAAGCCACAUGUAAAAUCUGUACGUCUCACUGGGCAAUGGCAAGCACCAAGGGAAAGCAGUCUAUACGUGAAGUGGACUAAAUAAUGCCCCCAAGGCUUUUCUGUUUAUAUAUGAUGCAAAAACACUCAACAUUAUCUAGCU